rnacentral:rRNA from 1 species
UGGUGGAGUGAUUUGUCUGGUUAAUUCCGUUAACGAACGAGACCUCGACCUGCUAAAUAGGUGAGCAAAUUUCCGAAUUUGUCUCAGCUUCUUAGAGGGACUUUGCCUGUUUAGGGCAAGGAGGUUCGAGGCAAUAACA